GGACUACAGGGGUAUCUAAUCCUGUUUGCUCCCCACGCUUUCGCACCUCAGCGUCAGUACCGGUCCAGAUAGCCGCCUUCGCCACUGAUGUUCCUCCAGAUAUCUACGGAUUUCACUCCUACACCUGGAAUUCCGCUAUCCUCUCCCGAACUCUAGUUAUAUAGUAUCAAAGGCAGUUCCGCAGUUGAGCCGCGGGAUUUCACCCCUGACUUAUAAAACAGCCUACGUGCGCUUUACGCCCAGUAAUUCCGAUUAACGCUCGCACCCUCCGUAUUACCGCGGCUGCUGGCAC
rnacentral:rRNA from 1 species